rnacentral:rRNA from 1 species
CGUACACUCCUGCGGGGGCAGCAGUGGGGAAUUUUGGACAAUGGGCGAAAGCCUGAUCCAGCAAUGCCGCGUGAGUGAAGAAGGCCUUCGGGUUGUAAAGCUCUUUUGUCAGGGAAGAAACGGUGAGAGCUAAUAUCUCUUGCUAAUGACGGUACCUGAAGAAUAAGCACCGGCUAACUACGUGCCAGCAGCCGCGGUAAUACGUAGGGUGCAAGCGUUAAUCGGAAUUACUGGGCGUAAAGCGUGCGCAGGCGGUUUUGUAAGUCUGAUGUAAAAUCCCCGGGCUCAACCUGGGAAUUGCGUUGGAGACUGCAAGGCUAGAAUCUGGCAGAGGGGGGUAGAAUUCCACUUGUAGCAGUGAAAUGCGUAGAUAUGUGGAGGAACACCGAUGGCGAAGGCAGCCCCCUGGGUCAAGAUUGACGCUCAUGCACGAAAGCGUGGGGAGCAAACAUGAUUAGAUACCCGGGUAGUCCCA